rnacentral:lncRNA from 1 species
ACGGAAACCCCCACCACUGCAGUGACCGUUUAAUAUACCACCAGACCUAUAAAAAUUCCAGUAGCAUAAUAUGGCGAAUAAAAUGUAAUCCAGUCUAUCGAGACCAAUCCAAAACUAUUCAUAUAUUUCAUGCCAACCUCAAAAAAUUUAGCCAUCAUGCUACCAUAGUGUCAUAAGCCACAAUUUCAAUAACAUAUAAAAUCAUAAAUUUCAACACAGUCUCCAUAUACUCAAUUUUCCCAAAACAAUAUUUGAUUUAAAAACCAGUAUAAAUCUCUUUUUUAUUAAAAAAACAUUUUAAUUGGAAAACAUAAUUUUUAUAAUUUAAACUCACCAUUCAAUAAAAGCAUCAAACAAGUAUAAUAACUCUAGAUAUUUAAGAUGAUAAGUUGUCCACUCACAGUUCUAGGAGUCGACGUACUCCUAAUCCCAGUCUUCAAGCACAAUUUCUGUACUUUUACCAGUGUAAUUUGCUCACCACCUAUCCACAAUGUACAAUACAUAAUUCACCACAGCAAUGCUUGACCAUUAUAAAAUUAAUUCAGGCUCGGUAUAUAUGCAUGAUAUGAUAUACAACUUAUCCGACUACCGCUUAAAUGCAGUGCUGACCUAAUUCGGCCUAUUACCCGAUUAAAUCGAUAUACGCGUCCGUUUAAACUCCAAAUUAAUUUUUUUCAGUUUCUAUACCUCAAUUGCACCCAAAUUGACUUAAUGUCCCUCAGUGUAGUGCAAAUUAUCAGUCUUGAUAGCAAAUUAUGAAAAUACCCCUAAUGGGUAAAAAUUCAUAUUUUUGCUCCGAAAAUUUCCAUUAUUUUUCUAGACUCAUAAUUCAUCAUUAUUCAUCAUAAUUCCUCAAAUAAACAUCAAGAUCAUCAGCUAAUAUUCCCCUAGAAAAUUCAGCCAAUAAUGGUAAUUGAGGAAAAUGAAUUCUUUUCUUGUUGUUUUGUUUCUAAAUAUGCUAAACUAACUUAAAACACUAACAUAACUUAGAAUCAAAUUAAUCUAACAAGUUUCUCUCUCCUAACCCAUUUUUCCAGAAUUGAAUUCAUCCUCAAAUUACAUGAUUCAACCAUGAAAAAUGAUGAAAAAUACAUGGAAAUGAUAAAUCUUAAGCUAAGCUUGAAAAAUCAUACCUUUAAACACUUGAUUCCUUGAAAAAUCACACUUUUUCUUUGAAUUUUCUCACUCUAGGGUUUGUUCUUAUUUCUCUCUCUCUCCUGCUGGUUUUGGCUGAC